rnacentral:rRNA from 1 species
CCGUAGCAAUACGGUACUGGCGCACGGCGCACGGGUGCGUAACACGUGGGUAAUCUGCCCUCUGAUGGGGAAUAACCCGCCGAAAGGCGGGCUAAUUCCGCAUAACAUUCCUUGGACUCCGGUUCGAGGAUUCAAAGGCGUAAGUCGUCGGAGGUGGAGCCCGCGCACGAUUAGCUAGUUGGUGAGGUAAUGGCUCACCAAGGCUAUGAUCGUUAGCUGGUCUGAGAGGAUGGCCAGCCACACUGGAACUGAGACACGGUCCAGACUCCUACGGGAGGCAGCAGUGGGGAAUCUUGCACAAUGGGCGAAAGCCUGAUGCAGCGACGCCGCGUGGGGGAUGAAGCUUCUCGGAGUGUAAACCCCUUUCGACCGGGACGAAUACCUCGCAAGAGGGGUGACGGUACCGGUAUAAGAAGCCCCGGCUAACUACGUGCCAGCAGCCGCGGUAAGACGUGGGGGGCCAGCGUUGCUCGGAAUUACUGGGUGUAAAGGGUUCGUAGGCGGUGUGGCAAGUCGGGAGUGAAAUCUCUGGGCUUAACUCAGGGGCUGCUUCCGAAACUGCCGUGCUAGAGUGUGGGAGAGGCGCGUGGAAUUGCAGGUGUAGCGGUGAAAUGCGUAGAUAUCUGCAGGAACACCCGUGGCGAAAGCGGCGCGCUGGACCACUACUGACGCUGAGGAACGAAAGCUAGGGGAGCAAACAGGAUUAGAUACCCUGGUAGUCCUAGCCCUAAACGAUCAGGACUUGGGGUGCCACCCGUUCGGGUGUCGUCCCGGAGCUAACGCGUUAAGUCCUGCACCUGGGGAGUACGGUCGCAAGACUGAAACUC